rnacentral:rRNA from 1 species
AUUGAACGCUGGCGGCAGGCCUAACACAUGCAAGUCGAGCGGUAACACAGAGGAGCUUGCUCCUUGGGUGACGAGCGGCGGACGGGUGAGUAAUGCCUGGGGAUCUGCCCGAUAGAGGGGGAUAACUACGGGAAACUGUAGCUAAUACCGCAUAAUGUCUACGGACCAAAGUGGGGGAUCUUCGGACCUCAUGCUAUCGGAUGAACCCAGGUGGGAUUAGCUAGUUGGUGAGGUAAUGGCUCACCAAGGCGACGAUCUCUAACUGGUUUGAGAGAAUGACCAGUCACACUGGAACUGAGACACGGUCCAGACUCCUACGGGAGGCAGCAGUGGGGAAUAUUGCACAAUGGGCGCAAGCCUGAUGCAGCCAUGCCGCGUGUGUGAAGAAGGCCUUCGGGUUGUAAAGCACUUUCAGCGGGGAGGAAGGGUCACUAGUUAAUACCUAGUGGCAUUGACGUUACUCGCAGAAGAAGCACCGGCUAACUCCGUGCCAGCAGCCGCGGUAAUACGGAGGGUGCAAGCGUUAAUCGGAAUUACUGGGCGUAAAGCGCACGCAGGCGGUUUGUUAAGUCAGAUGUGAAAUCCCCGAGCUCAACUUGGGAACUGCAUUUGAAACUGGCAAGCUAGAGUCUUGUAGAGGGGGGUAGAAUUCCAGGUGUAGCGGUGAAAUGCGUANAGAUCUGGAGGAAUA